rnacentral:rRNA from 1 species
AUUGAACGCUGGCGGCAGGCCUAACACAUGCAAGUCGAGCGGAGCGGCGGACGGGUGAGUAAUGCCUAGGAAUCUGCCUGGUAGUGGGGGAUAACGUCCGGUAACGGGCGCUAAUACCGCAUACUAUCAGAUGAGCCUAGGUCGGAUUAGCUAGUUGGUGGGGUAAAGGCCUACCAGGGCGACUAUCAGUACCUGGUCUGCGAGGAUGAUCAGUCACACGGGGACUGAGACACGGUCCAGACUCCUACGGGAGGCAGCAGGGGGGAAGAUUGGACAAUGGGCGAAAGCCUGAUCCAGCCAUGCCGCGUGGGUGAAGAAGGUCUUAGGAUUGUAAAGCACUUUAAGUUGGGAGGCGGUACCAACAGAAUAAGCACCGGCUAACUUCGUGCCAGCAGCCGCGGUAAUAC